rnacentral:misc_RNA from 1 species
CGCACACUUGCACACUCAUUACCGUCACUCCGCAGGCACCGUCGCUGAACUCCAGCACACACGAGAUCACUGGAGCGCUGACGAAAAGCAACUCUGCCGCUCUUUCUUUUUCUGUCGUUUUUGGGAGAGGGAGGACACCGUGUAUCGUAUCAGGCGCUCUCUUCCCCCGCUCCACGUAGGCCCCUUCCCUCUCCUUCGCCUUGCGAAGCUCUCCCUCUCUGGGAAUUUUGCUUUGUGUAGACCAGAGCGCAAGUGCCUCUUUCGAUUCUUUUUGACGCGGGUUGCCGCCGCGACCGGCCAUCUCCCCUGGUGCCGCCACACUUCCACUCCACUUGCUGUCCCUGCUCGUGUUCUCUUUCCCAUCUUCAUAUUCUGUGGUCGUUGUCCCCGAUCCCCCUCCCUACCUCCCUCCCUCCCUCCCCCCUCAAUCGACGGGCCGGCAGAGCGGCGAACACACGUACACCUUCUUGCGUGUCUUUUGCAUCUGCUCUAGAUUGCGGUCAAUCGUACCGCCGUUGCGGCGCCGCGCUUGUCCAAGCGGUGGCGCAUGUCGGCUACCCCUCAUGCUGUCUUGGUCCGCUCACAGCCUGCGCAUACUGUCCACCACCACCGCCGCCGCGUGCUCAAAGCGUCGUGGUGGUGUGAGGAAGCACAAGGUGCGUUGCGAAACGCAUGUCUGCAGCGCAUCAAGUAUCUAGCUUUUUAGAACUCCCAACAAAGAAGGACACCGGCGCGGCACUUGUAGCGAUGGAGGCACCGUCCGACUUCACGCCGGCCCGCGCACCUAUUCUGUGCCUGGUUUGUACCGCCACCGCGUGUGGCAGCCAGCUCAUUGCGACCAUCAAUGUUACUCUAGACACCACAUUGGCUGAGGUGCGGUCAGUGCUGGUCUCGCUGGCGACGGGAGGCGACGGGGGGCCGGCGGCGGUGAAGCAGCCGCCUACAAACGUCUCUGCCCAGCAGGCACAUACGAUUGUCUCCUCCCCACUGCACCCGUUCAACUUCACGGAGACGUUCAGCUUUGUGCACUGCGGCGGCUGCCGCGCCUACGCACGUGCCAAGGAGGCGUCGCUCGAUCUAGAAGAUGUGCUGCCGCGCUACCCGCGGCUUGGUGUUCCGCCGGCGAGCCUGUCGGCAAGGGAAGGACUAUCUUCAAGCACCGCGGUGCUCGGCACUGCGACGUCAGGGAGCAGGCGGCGUGUGUGCAUGAGCAGCUGCACGCGGUGGCUUCCCGACGCGGCCCCGCCGCUGGCGGUGGUGGCACACCCGCGCCGGCAAAAGGGGUGCCGAUCACAUCGGCGUCACCAGCGUGUUUCUCACAAGGCGGAGGAGAAAGGCACAUCCGUGCUGGACGCAUCUCGCAUGCCGCGGCAGAAGCGCUAUGCUCUGGCGGCCCUCUUUGUCACCCCAGGCGACCGUGCUGAGGGCGGGCUCCGUGCAGAGCGCGUGGUGGCCGAGCGGCUCCAGCUGCAACUUCCUGACCCGCUGCGCGGCUCAGGGGCUGCCGUCAGCGGCCCAGGACUCUUUUCACCCGCCACGCUCGCCGCCAACUAUGGACGGCCGUUCCGCGUCGAGGCGUGGUGCUCUGGCGUGACCCGGUGGAACGGCAAUACAGAAGACCUUCUCGGUCGCACGCUUCUGCACGAGGCGGCGCAGGUGGGGAACGAGGCCGCGGUCCACUUCCUGGUGUCGCAGCCGUACGUCGCCGUGGACGCGGCCGAGCGACAGUCGGGAUGCACCGCGCUGCAACUCGCUGUUCUGGGGAAUCACGUGGGUGUUGUAAAGGUGCUGCUCGAGGAAGGCGGCGCCAACCCGCUCAUUUCCAACCGCGCUGGCGACACCCCACUCCACAUCGCGCUGGAGCGCCGCCGCGCGGCGCUGGUGGGGCUGCUGUGCGCUCGUCUGCGCGCGCUUCAGGUGCCGCCCGCGGCGCUGCAGGAGGAGUCUAUGCGCAACAGAAUCGGCUAUACCCCAGUGGACCUGUUUCACCUGUACUCGCCCUCCCUUGGCGACCUUUGCCGCGAUGGGGCGAGCUUGCUGGCUGUGAAGUCGCUGGUGCAUCACUACUUCUUCUCUCCCGACGAGGUGACGACGCGUGAUGCGUUUUCUGGCCAAAGCGUCCUGCACGCAGCCGUUGCGGGCUCUGGCUUGGAUGUUGUGCGGUACGUCGCUGAGGACCUGGGCCUUGCCGCACGUCUCUCGGUGCCUGGCGGUCCAUACGCAGAACUCUUGUGCGAUUACCGGCGGCAGACACCGCUGCACGUGGCUGCCACCACCGGUGAGCCGGCGUGCGUGCAGUACCUCCUCCACAACCUACCAGCUUCGUGCCUGACGCAGCCAGACGUGAACGGCAGCACCCCUCUCCUGGCGGCGAUGAAGGCGCGGCGAUGGCGUGUGGUGGAGCUGCUGCUGGCGCAGUGUCCUCCUGGAACCCUUGCAGCCGCCGUGCAGGACCGAAACGGGUUCUCCGCGCUGCACUUUGCCUGUAGUCUUGGGAUGACCCGCGUGGCAGCCAUCCUUUUGCAGCACCACAGCGCCGUUGCAGCGCAGCGCUCCGUUGCCGCAAGACUGUCCUCGUCUUCCUCCUCUACGUCCUCUAUGACUGCUGAUGUGCAGUGGGGGCCUCACUGGGAGAACAUUGCCCUCGUGCGGCACAGUGCCCUGCGCGGCCGGCUGCGCAAGCUCGAGGAGCGCGAAAUCAGGCGCCAGGCUCAGCGGCAGCAGCGGAGCGCCGUUGCAAGCGGUUCCUUGACAAGCCACAGCGGAUGCAGCUACUGCUCACUCGCCGAGGACGCCGACCCAGUGGCGGCUGUCAAGGCUGCUCGGCAGUACCCAUACGGUGGCGCGCGGCGCGGCUACACACCACUGCGAUGCGCCCUUCUCUACGCCGUGAGCAGAGGCAACGGCCCAGCCCCCGUGCCGGUCGACCUCAUCCGACUUCUAUGCGAGUACGGCGCGCUGACGGCCGAGACGGCAGAUGACACCCGAGACCUUCUCUUCUACCUUCUCACCCACCGCUCUGAUGCUGCUGCAGAGCCGCUCUUUUCCUGGGUCACGGAGCGCUGUGCUGCCGCAGUCGAGGUGCUGCGGCGUGACAACAUCCUCCUGUGCCGCUUCUGCGCCCUAGGUGACGCCAUAGGCGUGCGCUGGUGCGUCGAGAAGCAGCUGUGCGAUGUGCAGGCCACAGCUGUGAAUCCGCUCGUGGCCUGCGCUGCUGCUGGUGAUGCAGCCGCCGCGACUUUUCUCAUUAAGUGCGCCGGCGCAGACGUGAACGCCAUUGCGGGUCAUGAGUCUGCCCUCGCAGUGGCGCUGCGGGAAGGCCACGAAGGGGUGGCACAGGUCCUCAUCCUCAGCCGGGCAGCUCUUUCUUCUCGGGAUGGCUCGUGGACUGCGCUUCAGCAGGCGACGAGCUCCAACUUGGAGAGCGUGGUUCGCGGUCUCCUGGGAUCUCGCGCUAUCGACCCAUUCCACGUCUCACGCGUCCUUCUUCGCACGUUGCAAGGGCUCGUGUACGAAGGCAUGUCGCGGAGGCGCGAGAGGUCUCGCUUGGCAUCAUACCUGGCUCGUGCCUGUGACCCACUGGCCUCCGAGGUGCACCCGACAGAGCUGUUGCACUUGUCCGCUGCGGUGGGGUGCUUUGAUGCCACGGUCGCCCUGGCGGAGCACCUACAGGCACUGCCAAAGACGGUAUGGGCGGAGCUGCUGGCAACAGCGCCGCCACCACCGCCUCGCCCAACGACGCUGAUUGAGCCCACCUUGGUGCCUCUCACCAUCAAAGCCCCGCGACUGCUGCCGAACCGUCUGACCGGCCGAGGUGGCCUCUAUCGCCCACCAAAGCCGUUUCACCGGCUUGUCGUGCCCACUGUCCGGCGGGCCACCGUCGUGACGCUGCUGCAUCGCGUGAAAGUGCGCGACGUGUACAGCUACGCCGUGGAGGCAGGCCAGAUCGACCUGGUGCGCUCGCUGCGGUACGGCCUCCACCUGCCGCCGUGGCCGUUGCGCGAUGUUCGAGGGUGGACGGUGACGGACUACGCGAUGGCGCACCACAGCCGCAGCAGGGCGUCUCUUGUGGCGCUCUUCGUCGCUGCCGGCAUUGCGCCUGCAACGCGGCACGGGCGGCGCAUGCUGCACUGCAGCGGAGAUGGUGCGUUGGUGGCGGCAGUGCACUACGCACAGCAGCAGCGCUGGAAGACAGCGGCAGCUUCGCAGUGUGUGGCCAAAACCGCGAGUGACGCUGGGGCAGAGGCGCGUCACACCGGCGAGCAAGCCGCCAUGGCAGCGCUGGAGCUGGUCGCUGACACCCUCUUCUGCCUUGUCAACGCUUCCGCAGAAAAGCAGGCCAGUGAUGGAGGAACUGCAAUCGUGCGCUGCGUCUUGGACGCCUUUCUGCAGACCCGUCACCUGAGUGACUUCCACCACGUGCCGUGUGCGUGGCUCAGCCGUGUCGUGGUGGCCUGCGCUGCGGCGGGGCGGUUGGAUGUGCUGCGACUGCUCAAGGAGCACUACAGUGUAGACCUAGCACAAGACUGGUUCAGUGGCGCUUCGGGGCCGCCGCUGAGUGCGUCUGGCACGCAACCGACACCGCUUCUCAUGGCAGUGCACCAGCGUCACAGCGACAUUGUGAUGUACCUCCUCAAGGCCGGAUGUGCCGUGCACGAGCGCAGCUGCCCCACCGCUGCCAUGGCCGCGCACGUUCGGCUACGGAACAUACACGCCUCGCUAAUCAGUCCACUUUGCUUGGCGGCGUGGAAGCGCGACUAUGUGCUGCUGCGCCUGUUGCUGGCGGCUUCGCCACCGCUCCGGCCGGAGGAUACGGAGGAGGAGGCCGGCCGCAGCGUUGGCGAUGUAUUGCGUGGACUGGUGAUGAGUGCGCCUCCUGGCAUGCAACGUGAGGCAGAGGCGGCGCUGGCCGACUGCGUGCGCGCACUCGCCACGGCUGGCCACCCGCUGCGGUUCGCCGGCACGGUGCGCGUCGCUGCAGCGAAGGGACUCGUGCAGGUGGCGCAGGCGCUCGUGGAGUGCUACGGCAGCGCCGCCCUUCUCGCCGACUUAGCUGUCUCGCUCGACGGCGGCGACGCGGAGGCGGAUGAGGAUGCAGAGAACGUCACCGCGCCACGCGUUCGGGGACAGCUAACCGCUCUCGCCUACUUCGCCGCAGACGCGCGCCUCGUGCCAGCGCUUCGCUCUCUGUUGGUGGAGCGGAUGGUGGAUGACUAUCAGCUGGAGUCAUGGAGACUGACCACGCUGGCCGCUACGAUGCAGGCGUUGUGCCGCAAGGGUGGCCGGCGUGGCGCGCGCGUGACGGCGGCGGCCGUGGACUAUGCACUGUGGCGCGGCUGUGCUGACGGCGCUGUUGUGCUGCUGGCGCUCGGUCUUGUAGGGCGCGGUGUGGCGCCGGCGCCGCGUCCGCCGUGUGGUGCGGGUAGCGCUGCCACAUGCGUCUCUGCGCGGGCGCUGUCCUUGUGUCUGCACCUCUUCAGCGUCCUUCGACUGUGGCACAAGCGGUGUGGUCAAUACAAGUCCUACACAGUGCUCCACAGCGCCGCAGAACUUGGCUAUGGGGACGCGGUGAGCGCUCUAACGGCGGAGAUGAUGGAGCUCCACCUCCCCGUUGUGGGCUCCGACGGCAGCGGGUCUGCACUCUCGUACUCGAACAUCCGCGCCACGGUCACCGCGCCGUCACUCUACGCCCUCGCCGCUACCCACGCGGAUGGGUGGAGGUGGUUCCCGUACUUUGAGCGCGUGGAACUUGUACUCGACCCUCGAACUCUUUACAUCGCGGCUCGCGAUAUGUUUGCGCUGAUCUUCAGCGGCUUUGGCGUGUCGCAGGCGGUGGACCGGGUGUGCCGUCGCGCGGCCCAGCACAAGCUCUUGGGCGACGUCUUCAGCGUCUUCGACAGCGCUGGAACUCCUGCGGCCACUAGUGCUAAUCUGGGUGACAUGCGCAACUCCGGUGCGCUGAAGUCGGUGGCGGAUAUCGGUGGCGCGCCGGCAGCAAUGCGCGGGUGUGCAGUCUCGGCGUCGUUUGUGUUUCGCCAGCUGCAGCUGAGACCGGCGGCCUUUUUCUUGGCUGGGGGAACCUACGUGCUCACGAGCAUGACGUCGCUGACGUGCGCCAUCGCGGCCGGCAGCCUAGAGUGGGUGCAGUACAUCGCCGUACAAGGACCUUCGUUGGUGUACCACCGCGCCACGGCGACCCGACUUACCACGGCAGCAGACAGGAGGGCGACCGCGAAGGAGCGCCACGCGCAGCUGCAGGCUGCAAUGGCCGCUGGUAAUCGACCCCGUUCAUGGGACCCGCGGCAAGGAUCAACGCGCCGUCCGCACCGCUGCGAGGCCUGCCUCGACGAUGGGAGAAGUGCAAGUGCCGCGUCGGUGCACAUUGCAGAUGACGUGUGUCGCAUGGACGCGUUGACGCUGUGCAUGGCGAUGCUGGCAGAGGCGCACCUGCGUCGUCAAGGCUCCGCCAUGGCACAGACGUACGAGGAUAUACUGACCCACUUACUCUCCUGGCCCGGUGCCACUCCGCGCAAGGAGACGAUCAACCUGCUUGCCAUUGCAGCAGCUUCGCUGCGGAGGUGGCCACUUCUGGUGUUCGUUAUGCAGCAAGCGGACCGCCUCUACGCGGCGGGGCUGAUGACAGACAUGAAUGAUCCUCGCCAAGAACAGCAGUGCCCACCAGCACCACCGCGUUACUUAUUCCCGUUGCUGCCGGAGGAGCUCCCGGCAGUUUUGGCGCACGUCAUCGGCAGCGUCCGGCACGUCAUGCAUGCCGUCGCCCGCUGGGCCCCAAAGGACAUACUCAUCGAGGUGGCUCGUCAUUGCCAGCGCUCCGACGUGGAGGCGGCCGCAGAUGCGCGGGGCUGCACGAGCGUCUACCACGCGCUGCACCACCGGCAGCCGUUUGCACUGGAGACGUUUGCAGCCCUUCGAGUGCCGAUGGGCCAGCCGUGCCGCAUGCGGCAGUGUCAGACGCCACUGAUGGUCGCCGCGGCUCGCGGGGGUACGGCAUUCGUUGUGGCGCUGCUGAAGCCGCAUCGAGUGAAUCAGAGGGACAGAGAAGGCCGCACCGCGCUCAUGCUCGCCGCCGCGCACGGUCACAGAGCCACCGUGGAGGCACUCCUGGCGGCCAACGCCGACAUCUCCCUCGGCGACUCGUGCGGUCGCACAGCUGUGAUGCUGGCGGCCUUGGGCGGCUACGAUGAUCUCGCCGUGCAACUCGUGCAGAACUUCUGCCAUGCCGGCGACUUGAUGUCCGCGCAAACGUCCGUGCUGCACUGCGCGGCGGUCGGCGGAUGCUGGCGCACCACGGCUGCGGCACUGAAGCUGGCGGUGCCGCCCGGCGCGCAGCUGAUGGGUGGCGGCGCCGAAGCCUCUGCGCUGCUCGCGUUACGCGAGGACAUGGACGGGCACACGCCUCUGCACCUCGCACACGCCUUUGGCAGCGCGCGGGUCCUGCAUGAACUGCUGCGGGUGCUAUUCAGCUUCUGUGGGGAAGGGGGGACAGCGCAAGGGCUGCUGGCGCGGCUGAGCACGCAUGGAAGCGGUGCCAUUGAAAAGAGGCUGCUGCUGUGCGACUCCACGCUGCAGCGGUACGGCUGGCUGAGCGGUGUUCUCGAGGUAAACGCUGCACUGCAGGAGAAGGUGCGCCAAGGGUAUGAGCAGAGCCCUGCUGCGCGUGGUUUGAAAGCGGGGGAGGUGGUCUAUCAACCUUUCGCGCCGCCCCUGCGCAGCGCUGCGUCUCUGCUGCUGUGGUGCGUGCAGACAGGCAACACGGUGGGUCUACGCGUACUCGCCGACUACAACGUCGCGGACGACUGCGGCGUGCUGCACGUGGCUGCCGCAAACGGUUCCCUUAAUGUCGUGAAGCUGCUCGUGCAACUGGAGAUGAGCGAUCCAUCGAUGCAAGACGUGCGAACGGGCCGCUACGCCUUCGAGUGGGCAGCGCUGCACGAGAACGCGGAUUGCGCCUCCUUUCUUCUUACCCACACCGUGCUCGACUGCGCCGCGUUGCUUGGCAGUUGCAUGAGCGCGAACGACGGCGGCGCCAUAGGCGCUGAGGGGGCGCCACCGGAAACAAACGGCGUGUGGACGCGAGAGGACGCAAGCGGCAACGCGCCAAGAGCGGGCGACUCCAGCUCAGCUGCGUCAUCUGCGGUGCCGCUGCUUCACGUGAUGGCCGGCCACUGCGGUGGCCAGCUGCUGCUGCAGUUUGUUGAGCAGACCCUGUACACAGUCACUCGCACAUACAUGGUGCCAUCGACCCGCCACGGCGGCGCGAGUGGUGAGCAGAGCGGUGCAGAGGUGAUGAGCUUGGCGCUCUACCGCGCGCUCCAGCGACCAGCCGGGCCGUCGCGUCUUACCCCGCUAGAGUACGCGAUCGCGGUUGGCGACCCAGUGGCGGUUCUACACACGGCACAGGUGCUGCAGCGUCUCCAGGAGACAGCUGACGCGCUGAAGCCGGCGCUGCCGUCGCCCGUGCGUUUCGCGCCGAUUGGCUCUGGGCGAUCCAACACUGCCGGCGCGGUGCGGUGGGAAGGUGGGGAGGGCGUCGUCUCUCUCCAGCCAAGCGACCAAGCGGCUACCACCCGCAACGGGGCGGUGUUUGUGUCCAAGUCUUUCCUGAGCUGGGUGCCAACGCUCAGCCCCGCCGUGCGUGCCAUCCUCUUUGACGUGCUUGGCAUGUGGGAGGUGGCCAGCGUCGCCGGCUUCGCUCCGCAGCGCCAUGUGGCGCAGGCCUCUCUCACGACGCCGCCCACAGACGGUGGCGCCGAUGCGAUUUGUGAGCGCGAGCCACAGCAGUCCCCUUCCUUGCAGCAGUGCGGCGAGGAUGAGGCGGCAGCGGCUGCUGCAAAGAAGGGAACUGUAUCUGCUCUUGCGUGCACGCAGCGCGUCCGGUUCAGCGAUGUGCGCCUUCUCGGCAUCCACAUGCUUCAGCAGGACGACUACUGCGCCGAGCUGCUCCACGACUUCCUCACGCCAGAUCACGAGCGCGAAGUGCUGCGGCUGCUCCUGCAGGACUUCCCGUACAAGAUUCGCUACGAGCCAGACUCGUACCGACAGUGCAGUCUGUCGACCCAGACACAGCUGCUGCGGUGGCUCGGUACGUCCCUGGUUCUCGGCACCUACGACGUUUCACCUCCGAGCAGCGUCCCGACGACUUCGUGGGCGGCGGCCACGGGGGCGGAGCGGGAGAAGGUGGCUACCGUUGACUCGAUUGAGAUACAGGUGGUGCCUCACCGCGGCGAGGAAUUUGUCGAGCUCAAUGGCACGGCGCUCUCGCACUCCUUGUACUUAUCGACGGCCCAGCAUGCACUGGUCAUUCCGGACGUGAUGGCGACGCUGUCCCGUACACUGCGAGCACAGCGCAAGGUGUGGCAGACGGAGCUGGCAGCUGUAAGUGCUCGUGCGACGAGACUGCUGCAGCGCCAAGCGCAUCCUGUACUGCAGCGCAGCAUCGUCACCGUCGACUGGAACCUCUCGACGAUGCCGAGCGAUGGGACCACGAGUGUAUCGGCAGACCUCGACCGGUACGGCGCUGUCUUUGUGCGCGUCUGCGAUGCGCUGCGCACCUUCAUGGACUGGGUGCGUGGUCCGCUGCGGAGUCUUCUUGCCGAGGUAGAUGCUGCCGAUCUUGCGGCGGUCGUUGUCGGGGUGCGGCAGGGCGGGAUGGCUGGCUUGCAGGUGCGCUUCCGGUAUGUCACCGAGGAGCGUGCUGUCACGCGCUUUCCAGCUGCGCCCAUGGCGGCGGCUUCUACCGCGGUGAUGUUCAAGAGUGCGGCGUACCCGUCGUGCUGCAUCGAGUUCAACGAGGUCACACAUACAGACGUGGUGUACGCCUGCCAGGCCACGAUUGGGCGGGCCAUUGCCGCAGAUGUGGCUCUGGUGCGGGUCCACCAGACGAGGGACCGCUUCUUGCAAGUUGCGCGUCGGCUUCUCUCCGCGCCGAAGGGGGUCGCGGCGGUGUCGACGUCGCCGCCGCGACGUGCAGAUGUUUCCGAGGAGAGUGAUGAAAGCACUGCAGCGGACUUGUCGCCAUCGCCACCCGGGGACGCGGAGGAGCCGAAGAAGAGCAGACGCGCAAAGAGUGCCCGUGGAUUAGCCACGCCACCGCUGUCGUCGGAGUUGCUUCGGUUCAAGCUCGAGCUGGAGGGCACCACGCUGGACGCGAUGCCCGUGCAGGAGUUUGAGCGACUGCUGCUGGCCGAGACGGCGGCGGCGAUCGACGCAGUGGUAUCACCCUGGCCACAUGCGGCGUCUCCGUCGCGAAAAUCGACGGCUGACGCGACGGCCAAGGCGUACGAUGCGUUCCACUCCGCCGCGAUUCUUAGCGCCGCGCUCGUGCGUCGGCUGCGGUCCGUCCUUGUGCUCUUCACCACACGUCGCGAGGCGAUAGUUCGGCUUAGCGGCGACAAGUUGAUGCUGUGCUUCACUGCCGACGAGAUUCCGUCCCGGAGCGACAUCGCCGCGGAAAUCACACGCACGCUGGCGCAAGAGGAGUGCGACGUGUACCAGCGGCGGCUGGCAGAGGUUUACGAGAUGAUGAGGCAGCGUCUGACCGCGUACCUGCCGCAGGCGAAGCUCGUGGUGGACGUGGAGGCGAUGCAGCGGCUUGCCGGUGACGAUGCGCACAUGCUCUCCGCGAUGCGACUGUUGGUGCAUCAGCAGAGUCAGUGGGUACUGCAGCGGCUCGUGGAGGGGGUGAGCAUUGGGUGGGACACGGAGCUUGGCGCCGUGGUGCGGCGUCAUGUGCUGCAAGUGACGCUCACCUUGGACCCGGGCCUCUACGGCACCUGCUACCUAUCUCCUCACGGUGUUUUUGCGUACUACUGCCCCUUGCUGUGCUUGGAGCGGCAGCCGCCUGGUGCGCUGACGCCAUCCUCCCUCCCCUCGUGGCAGCUGCUGAGUUCGCAACACAUUGCGUCGUUGCUGCUCAUGCAACUAGCGGUUCGCGAACCGCAGGUGCUUCAGUUUGUGGAUCAAAAGCGGAGCGUGGCAUGCUGGACUACGGCGCGCCGCAUCCCGCGCCGCAUCCUUCCUGGCAGCCCCGUCCUCAUCGAGGUACAGGCGCGCAACUUGCUCAAUCGGCCUCUGCGCCGCGGUGGGGAGCGACUGCUGCUGAUGGGCGAGGUGGAGAAGCUGAACGUCGAGGACGCCGGUAGGGGGCGGUAUAUGAUUCGCUUUGACUCUUCCCAGCGGGCCGGCGACCAUCGUCUCUUCAUUCUCCUUCACGGGCAGCCCAUCGCACAGUCACCAAUGUCGUACACGGUGCGGCCCGGCGCGGUAGACCUCAGCCGCACACGCGUGCGAGACACGUUUAACGCGGUAGUGAUAGGUGUGCCUUUCACGGUGCUUCUGCAGCUCCGCGACGCCGCCGGCAAUCGACUGCUCGCGGCUCCCAACGGGUUGACGGUGGCGUGCGCGUCCCCUGCCUCAAUGGUACAGCUGCAGACGUGGGGGUGGAAAGGGCCUGGCAGGGUCGCGGUGACACUGCGAGUGCUGCCCGCCGUGCCCACCAAGACGGCGCUGAUCAUCUCGCUCACGCUCACGUGCCAGUCGGCUGCCGCUGGCGCUACUGCGGAUGGCACUGUAUUCACGGCUACGGUGCCCCUUCCAGCAUACUCAUGUGUCGAUAGCGAAACCUACCAGCACGUCUGCCGCGUGCGUCGCGGGCUCAUUGCGGAUAGCGGCUCACCCACCAGUCACCAGAGCCCGUGCGCGUAUCCGGGAAUGGCGCCGACACCCCGCACAGCACCGCCACAGCCAUCAAGCCUCUACUUCCGCCAAGCGACGCGGCGUGCGGUACGCAAGAAGCUUGCGAAAGAAGCAGCCGCGCUCGGUGGCGCGCUGAGUUACCGCUAUCCGCGCAACACCACCAUGAAACGGCUAGAGAUGCACACCAAGUUGGCCACAGUAAAGGGGUCAGGCGGUACAAGGCCGCGCGAAAAGCCCGUCUCCAAUUCCGGCAGCGCGGCUGUCACGCCCACAACUACAUGAUGACUAGUGUGGUACAGGGGCUACACAGAGAUAGCGGGAAGGAUAGGGGGAGGAGGGCGGCCGACAGCUCGGUGCAGCAUCCGCGAGGAAUCAAGGAUUGCCAGCGCUGGUUCGAGUCCGUGUCUCACUUGCAUCUUUCCUGUCGACCCUGCCCUUGUCAGUAUCGCUCUGCGGGCCUUUCCAUCUGUAUGUGUGCUUGUGAAGCUGAUGUGCGCCACUUUUUCUCCCUGCCUCUUUUCUAUGUCGGCUGUUUUCACGCUUCUGCAGCGAGUUUCACGGAAGAGAUUCGUCUAGGAGGUGCGAGCCGCCUGCUUUUUUUUUGUGUGUUUGUGUAUGCCAGUGCCAUAUUGAGGUCGGUGCCUGUGUCGGCCGAAUAGGUGGUGUAGUGGAGAGACGUUACCGUAUGCGGAAUGUGCACACAUUUUUGCACAUAAUCGUAGACGAAACGAACAACGAAGCAGCAGCUCAUACCGGAGGGGCCAGUCAGGUGUGUUUGCAUGUGGCGGGCGAUGGUGGCAGUGGCGAUGGCGAUGCGUUUGUUCGAGCUGUUGUUGUGUCCUUCUUCAACGCGACGGCCAUCCCCCUCCUGCCCCUCCUUCCACUCACUUGGGCUUAAGAAUGGUACUCAAGGCUGACGCAGAGACACAAAGGCGCAAGGCAGCCCUUCUCCUUCCUCCAGCACUGAAGAGCAGACAUACGGCCGCCAAUGCUCGGUAGAUACGCGCACUCAUCCCCUCCCCUUCCUUGCCCCCCUCCCUCUCUCACACACACACGCGCACGCCCCCUCCUUUGUGUUCAUCGCGUGUGCUCUUCGCCGCCGUCUGUUACACCCGAACACUCACACACAUGCCUGUGCUGGUGCGUGUCUCGCACUGACUCUCUCCUUGCACCCGUGCCGCUGUUUUCUCGUCUGGCAUAUACCACCUGUCUGCUACUCUGUUUGUGUGCGCAUUCCUUGACAG